UAUCUGAUUGCUCUUACAACAAACCUUGUUAUCCAGGAAGGUGUUAUGGUGGUAGUGGGUGUAGUUGUACUCCUGGAUUCACUGGCAGAACGUGUUUAGAACGUACGUCAAUAUGGUAUAGAGAAAAAUGAUUAAUAUAAAAAAGAAGAUGUGGUAUGAUUGCCAAUGAGACAACUAUCCACAAAAGACCAAAAUGACACAGACAUUAACAACUAUAGGCCACCGUACGGCCCUCAACAAUGAGCAAAGCAUACCGCAUAGUCAGCUAUAAUAGGCCCCGAUAAGACAAUGUAAAACAAUUCAAACGAGAAAACUAACGGCCUUAUUUAUGUAAAAAAAUGAACGAAAAACAAAUAUGUAACACAUAAACAAACGACAACCACUGAAUUACAGGCUCCUGACUUAUAACAGGCACAUACAUUAAUAAUGUGGCGGGGUUAAACAUGUUAGCGGGAUCCCAAC
rnacentral:lncRNA from 1 species